rnacentral:rRNA from 1 species
AGUGAACGCUGGCGGUAGGCCUAACACAUGCAAGUCGAACGGCAGCACAGUAAGAGCUUGCUCUUACGGGUGGCGAGUGGCGGACGGGUGAGGAAUACAUCGGAAUCUACUUUUUCGUGGGGGAUAACGUAGGGAAACUUACGCUAAUACCGCAUACGACCUACGGGUGAAAGCAGGGGAUCUUCGGACCUUGCGCGAUUGAAUGAGCCGAUGUCGGAUUAGCUAGUUGGCGGGGUAAAGGCCCACCAGGGCGACGAUCCGUAGCUGGUCUGAGAGGAUGAUCAGCCACACUGGAACUGAGACACGGUCCAGACUCCUACGGGAGGCAGCAGUGGGGAAUAUUGGACAAUGGGCGCAAGCCUGAUCCAGCCAUGCCGCGUGGGUGAAGAAGGCCUUCGGGUUGUAAAGCCCUUUUGUUGGGAAAGAAAAGCAGCAGGUUAAUACCCCGCUGUUCUGACGGUACCCAAAGAAUAAGCACCGGCUAACUUCGUG